rnacentral:lncRNA from 1 species
GUGAAUGCUCUCCCUAAAACAAUAUUUGCACAUCUGUAUAUAGCCCCAUAUUUCCUUCUCUAGUGUCCAUCUCCAUGUAAUGUAUUUUGCACAUCACGCUGCUGCCUAAAUCACUGUUGUGCUGCGAUUUGUACAGAUCGCCGCCUCGUCAUGCCCAAAAGGUCUAUUCCUCUUCCUCCGGUGAUCUGCUGUGUUUCCCUUGGCAAUAGCUUGUGCUUGUCGGAGCAAUGCUUUGUUACUACCAUUUUCGGGUUAGAUGUAUUUCGAUUGCAAUGGGGUGGACACUAACACUAUUCCUGGAUGUCAAUCCUGCUAAAAAUAUUUGGUUGAACCAACUCUUGAAGAAAAAAUAUUUUUGUACGAAAUCCCAUAGCUCGGUUGCUUGUCCAAUCAUAUGUACUUGUUUAUAUCAAUUGGUAAAUAUAGCUGAAAGAAUUUUACUGUAAGUUGAUCAGAAUCUAAUUUCUGAUGCUAUUAUGUUAAAGCAAGUUGCAGCUUGUUACGAUAAGUGGCAAUAAGAAUACAAAUUAGAUGCUUGUUGCUUUAGAAGUAUGUUACAGGUUACAGUUUUAUUGCUGUCCCUUUUCUGGGCUCAGGGCCGUUUGAAGUGCUAACCUGAUAUAUAAGCCUCUGAGAUAGAAUAUAGAUUGAUCACAUAAGAAACUUAGUUAGCUCAAUUUCUUCUUUUACUUAAUUUUAUUUCAGUGCAACUUCUGUUUUUUUAAUUAAUUACACGUGAUGGUGAUUGUACUCUGCAGUGAAACUCAUUUGGAAGCUGGAGUGUACCUGCUUGCCAAGAUCAUGAUGGUGACGAGGCAAUGCAGUUCAGAUCUGUUUAGUUCUUAUUACCUGGCCUAAUGUACCAUGCCAAUAAUUCUUGCCUCUUGGUAAAAGUCUAUGUUUGUAUAGCUCCAGUGCUUACAUAAUUCUUCUAUUCCAUUGUUCAGGAAGUUUAGCUUAUUGCCCUAUGCUUUUCUCUGUAUAUGCAGGUUGCUUAACUGACAGCUCUGCUUGGUACAAUGUGGUGGCCAUUUGAAGUUAAAAUAAAGAGGCACCAUAAGAUCAAACUGUCGAUCCCUCAUGCUUCGGUGCUUGCUUUCGCCAGAUCCUUAUGAGAACCGAGGUCCAGAAGCAUUAUGUUACAUGGUAGCAAGUCGAAUGGAGUAUGGUUUAAGUGGUUAACUGUUAAUCGUCUUCCUUCUGUACGGAGAAUUUGUAUUUUUUAUCUUGCCACAUUAAAUUCUUAUGUUGAUCUGGAAUUUGUAUUUUUUUGGGCACAGUGAAUUCUUACGGGUGUUUUUUUUGUGUUUAAUUAGUGUACCACUGCCUUUUCAAUCGAUUUUCUAUUUUAUGUUGCCACCAGAUUUCUUACUUCGUUGAUUGGCUAAAAGCUUUGGCUGUAUUGCUGGUCCAGGAUAAUAUUUGGUCUCGCAAAAAAUAUGAACCAUUACGUGGAAUGCAACAUAAUCUUACAACUCUUGACAGGUGUCCAAUUUCCAACUGCAAAAUAUCUGUACAACACAU